GAUGAAGAACGCAGCGAAAUGCGAUACGUAAUGUGAAUUGCAGAAUUCAGUGAAUCAUCGAAUCUUUGAACGCAUAUUGCGCUCUCUGGAAUUCCGGAGAGCAUGCUUGUUUGAGUAUCAGUAAACACCUCAACUUCCAUAUCUUUUUUGAAAUGGGAGUUGGACUUGAGUGAUCCCAACGCUUUUCCUCACCGAAAAGUGGCGGGUUACUUGAAAUGCAGGUGCAGCUGGACUUUUCUCUGAGCUAUAAGCAUAUCUAUUUAGUCUGCCUAAAAAACAGAUUAUUACCUUUGCUGCAGCUAACAUAAAGGAGAUUAGUUCUUGUGCUGACUGAUGCAGGAUUCACAAAGACAGGCUUCGGCCGACUUUGUAAACUCGAUCUCAAAUCAAGUAAGACUACCCGCUGAACUUAAGCAUAUCAAUAAGCGGAGGA
rnacentral:misc_RNA from 1 species